UGUAGCUUAGUGACAAAGCAUUUGCCUAGCAUGCACAAGGCCCUGGGUUCAAUUCCCAGCA
rnacentral:tRNA from 1 species